UACGGUCUCUCAGACCUGGUGCUGUACCUGCCUGAGAUUGGUCAGUUCGUUGAUAUACGUCAGAGCACGCGCCUCCGUGAGAAGCAGUACGGCAAUAUACUGGAAGCGAGGUUGAAAAUCCCGCAGGAUCAGUAUCGCGAUUCGAUGGCGGAAACAUGCGAGAUCGAGACACAGGCACGGCGCAAGGGAACAGUGGACUUGAAAUCCAUCGACUCGGAGUACGGCUUCCACGCAGUGUCGAAAGGUGGGCACAGGACGGCAAAAGAUAAAAAAGAGUUCUACAGCCGAGGGCUGAUGCUAUUCCGGUUGCGGCAACACCGCUCAAACAAGGAUGGAGGCUACGCUACUACCUAGCUGCACAAUCAUACAAUCACACAAUCAUUCACACAAUCAUACUCUUCCGCCAAGCUGCAUACAGCACAGUCAUACAAUCAUUCACACAAGCUACCACCUAGCUUUACAUGGCACAAUAAUACAAUCAUUCACACAAUCAUACGCUACUACCUAGCUGCACAAUCAUAAAAUCACACAAUCAUUCACACAAUCAUACUCUUUCACCAAGCUGCAUACAGCACAGUCAUACAAUCAUUCACACAAGCAUAAACUACCUCCUAGCUUUACAUGGCACAAUAAUACAAUCAUUCACACAAUCAUACGCUACUACCUAGCCGCACAAUCACACAAUCAUUCACACAAGCAUACGCUACCUCCUGGCUUCACAAUCAUACAAUCACGUAGCUUAACACAUCACAACAAGCUACGUUCUACCUUUCUUAGGACAUUCCUUCAUUCACCUUUCUUUUCUAGGAUACGCCUGUAUCUAUACCCUGUAUAUUAUUCAGUGACUAUUUUGUAAAAAAAUUAAUAUACAUGUAGGUAUAAUGUAAACUUAAGAGCAAACUGUGU